UUGUGUUCCCCUCCCCAUCGCCUGAUGUGAGGAGAGAAGGGUGGCGAGCAUUAGCCAUGCUAAACAGAUGCCUUUUGUGGACGAGACACCUGGCAGAGGAGGGGGUCCUGGCGUACCCUGCAUCCGACUGUGACUCUCCUUCCAACAUGUGCUUGGUAGGGUCAAGGAUGGGAGCCUGGACAGCUACUUUUUGAAAAUAAUUGCAGUUACACUUUUGAGACCAGCGUUUCAUCACUGGGACCACUGCAUUUAAAGGAAUUCUUCUUUGAAAAUGACUAAAAUCUUGAUAGCAAACAAAGGAGGAGGAGAAAGGACGUCAGCGCCUGGUUGCCGCAUCACUGAAGACCAAGAGAAUCUGGUUGAACAUAAAGGAAGUGAAGCCCAGACUUUGUAAAAUAAAGGAUUCAGGCGCAUGGAUCUGGACCACUGAAUCUGUGAUGACCUAUUAAAUGCUAUACCCAAAUUAGCCCGUGGGAUUUCCUUGGCGAGUGAACAGCUCCCGUCGAAUGCAGACCAAAGUAAAUAAAAUAAUUAACAACUGGAAUAGGAGAGGAAGCCUGUUCGUUAUAACCUGCCUUUUCAUUACCAAAACUUUCACAAUGCUCAACAGGUAGCGGUAACUCUUGGCAACCCACUUAUG